GUGGCCGUGGCCGAGAGGUGUGGCGUCUGCUCAUUGAAUCAGGUUACGUGGGUUCGAAUCCCGCCGGCCGCG